rnacentral:lncRNA from 1 species
CUGAGCUGCGCUCCCCGCCCGGGCCUCUUCCGCCUCCGUUUCCUCAGCUGCCGGGAGCUGCCCGGAGAACCAGGCGCCUCCCAGUUGCUUUCGCCUCCCGCGUUGUUCGGCCAGAGCCUCGGCGCUGCUGCGUUUUGACUGGAGAUCUGAACGCUGCGUUAGGCCCCUUUCCCGUGAGCAGCAGAAGCCAGUUCUCCUGCCUUAACCACGGGAAUCACCGCCAGGCAGCGGGCGGUUCCCUGGAGGGCAGGGAGGGCUGGGGCCCCGGCCGCUCCAGAGGGUCCCAGGGCAGGAGGGACGCGUCGACGCCCAUCCCAGCACAGACUAUGUACAGCUGAUCAGUCUGAUGGCCCCAGAUGAACAAUGAGAUUCGCCAUUCCACAGUCUUCAUUUACAGCAGUCUGCACUGUUGAGAGGCUCCAGCCGUCACACUCACUCACAGGGGCCUCUCCAAGUUUCUUGCUGAAGACAUCCACAGGUCUUAACCAGGCUGGUCCACCGCGGUCUUGUGAUUCGAGGCACA